rnacentral:lncRNA from 1 species
CGCAAAAGAUGUUAUGCUAGAAAUAACCUUUGUUUUCAUAUAUUAAUAUCUAUUUUUGAUUGAAUGUUGUAAGAAUCUUUAAUCUCAGUUAACGGAGUAUUAAUGAGUAAUUCUGUGAGAAUGUGAAAAUAGUCUAGUUAUUAUUAUUUGAAAUAUAUUAAGAGUCACGGGUCUCUGCUAGUGUCAUCACUUUGAAACAUGUAUGUUUAUUUAUAAAGCUACAUUUUUAUGCAUCGCAAGUGUUCACUUGAGCAAGUUGACAGUUGUAAUCUGUCGUGCUCUUGGAAGUAUCUGUAAGAUAAACAAGUGAGAG